rnacentral:rRNA from 1 species
GACGAACGCUGGCGGCGUGCUUAACACAUGCAAGUCGAACGGAAAGGCCCUGCUUUUGUGGGGUGCUCGAGUGGCGAACGGGUGAGUAACACGUGAGUAACCUGCCCUUGACUUUGGGAUAACUUCAGGAAACUGGGGCUAAUAUCGGAUAGGAGCUCCUGCUGCAUGGUGGGGGUUGGAAAGUUUCGGCGGUUGGGGAUGGACUCGCGGCUUAUCAGCUUGUUGGUGGGGUAGUGGCUUACCAAGGCUUUGACGGGUAGCCGGCCUGAGAGGGUGACCGGGCACAAGGGGACUGAGGGACGGACCAGAGUCCUACGGGAGGCAGCAGUGGGGAAUAUGACACAAUGGGCGGAAGUCUGAUGCAGCAGCGCCGCGUGCGGGAUGACGGCCUGCGGGUUGUAAACAGCUUUCGCCUGUGACGAAGCGUGAGUGACGGUAAUGGGUAAAGAAGCACCGGCUAACUACGUG